ACUCCUACGGGAGGCAGCAGUGGGGAAUAUUGCACAAUGGGCGCAAGCCUGAUGCAGCCAUGCCGCGUGUAUGAAGAAGGCCUUCGGGUUGUAAAGUACUUUCAGCAGUGAGGAAGGUAUCGUAGUUAAUAGCUGCGGUAUUUGACGUUAGCUGCAGAAGAAGCACCGGCUAACUCCGUGCCAGCAGCCGCGGUAAUACGGAGGGUGCGAGCGUUAAUCGGAAUUACUGGGCGUAAAGCGCAUGCAGGUGGUUUGUUAAGUCAGAUGUGAAAGCCCGGGGCUCAACCUCGGAAUUGCAUUUGAAACUGGCAGACUAGAGUACUGUAGAGGGGGUUAGAAUUUCAGGUGUAGCGGUGAAAUGCGUAGAGAUCUGAAGGAUACCGGUGGCGAAGCGGCCCCUGGACAGAUACUGACACUCAGAUGCGAAA
rnacentral:rRNA from 1 species